rnacentral:lncRNA from 1 species
UUCGAUGGAAUUCCGCACCAACAGAAUUGGCGCUAGAGGAAGGGCGGCUGUGUCUUUAUAGUACCCUUGUUCUGAAAGGAGUGCUCAAUGGGACCGAUUUCGGUCAUCUUCUCCGACAUCCUUUUCUCCUUCUUCUACUAGAUCUUCACCCGAUGCCUCCCCAUAAAGCAUCCACCAGGCGAUCCGUGGCCUCCGCGGCCAGAUCUCAGGCUCCGACCUCACCUCCAGUUUCACAGGCCCCUCCUCCUCCGAUAAUAGUGGUCUGCAGGUUCAUCCAACACCGGUCUGAAGGUAGGAAGAAUCGAUCGAGGGCCCUG